GGCCAAACUGUCUUCUUUCCCCUGUGCCCAUACACUUCAUUGGUUUUGGUGGAACUGUGCCAAGUUACAUUGGUUGAGAAUCAGGCACAGUCUUUCCAGAGAGGAAAAGAGAACUGAAAAUGGCAGUCCUGCUCAAAUUAAGUUAAAUUCAGUCUCUCUCUCUCUCUCUCUCUCUCUCUCUCUCACCCACUGAAAUUGCAUACAAGAAGUUCCUUUCAAACCAUCUGGUAGGGAAUAAGAAACACCCAGACCCAUUCAUUACCUCUGCUAUGAGAUUUCCCUGCUCAGAAUGGAGAUCCGAAAGGAUGCCACUGUCUCCAUUUCAGUUAAGAGGACAUGAAAAACCAAAAGAUGAGGCCAUGGAAUGCAGUCACUUUUUAGAGAUGACAUUUCUAUGGAGUAUAUCACCAGGCUCUACUUGCUGAAGUUGGAACAGAUGUCCAAGAAUGGUACAAAGACAGAAACCUUGUUUACAAGUGAAUUGCUCAUUGGGAGAAAAAAAAAAAAUCAGACAGUCACAUCUUUUGUAAUGUGUACCUUUUCAUGUGUGUACAAAAGCGCAAGUUUGUGUUGUUUCCAAAGCCCCUACACUGGAAUUAAGAGAGUUCUUUGGCUACAUUCAGA